rnacentral:rRNA from 1 species
GUCUGUGGCCAUACCACCCUGAACGCGCCCAAUCUCGUCUGAUCUCGGAAGCUAAGCAGGGUCGGGCCUGGUUAGUACUUGGAUGGGAGAAAGGAGAACAGUGUCCCAUUGUCU